UGGGAUAGCUCAGUUGGUAGAGCAUGAGAUGCUUAAUCUCAUGGGUUCAAGCCCCACAUUGGGCAAAA